rnacentral:rRNA from 1 species
AGCAGCCGCGGUAAUUCCAGCUCCAAUAGCGUAUAUUAAAGUUGUUGCAGUUAAAAAGCUCGUAGUUGAAUUUCGGGACUAAUAUGUCGGUCGUACUUUGUACGUACUAGCAUUAUUGGUUUCUCCCUUCUGACGAACCACGAUGUCAUUAAUUUGGUGUCGCGGGAAAUCAGGACUGUUACUUUGAAAAAAUUAGAGUGUUUAAAGCAAGCUCGCGCUUGAAUACAUUAGCAUGGAAUAAUGAAAUAGGACGUUUGAUUCUAUUUUGUUGGUUUCUAGGAUCGACGUAAUGAUUAAUAGGGAUAGUUGGGGGCAUUAGUAUUCAAUUGUCAGAGGUGAAAUUCUUGGAUUUAUUGAAGACUAACUACUGCGAAAGCAUUUGCCAAGGAUGUUUUCAUUAAUCAAGAAC